GACGAACGCUGGCGGCGUGCUUAACACAUGCAAGUCGAACGGAAAGGCCUUUUCGGAGGUACUCGAGUGGCGAACGGGUGAGUAACACGUGGGUGAUCUGCCCUGCACUCUGGGAUAAGCCUGGGAAACUGGGUCUAAUACCGGAUAGGACCGCACUUUAGUGUGUGUGGUGGAAAGUUUUUUCGGUGUAGGAUGAGCCCGCGGCCUAUCAGCUUGUUGGUGGGGUAAUGGCCUACCAAGGCGGCGACGGGUAGCCGGACUGAGAGGUUGGUCGGCCACAUUGGGACUGGGAUACGGCCCAGACUCCUACGGGAGGCAGCAGUGGGGAAUAUUGCACAAUGGGCGCAAGCCUGAUGCAGCGACGCCGCGGGGGGGAUGACGGCCUUCGGGUUGUAAACUCCUUUCGCCAGGGACGAAGCGUUUUGUGACGGUACCUGGAGAAGAAGCACCGGCUAACUACGUG
rnacentral:rRNA from 1 species